AGAAAACAAAACAGGUAAUACCAGAAGCACUGGUGUGAUAGAAGCUGUGCAAACCAACAAGAUGCUUAGAGCAACUCUAACAAAACUGAAGGACCUUUCAAUCACUGACGUGAGUGGCAGGAGGAUUUCACCAUCUGAACACCACACCCUGCAAGGAGCUGAGUUGCUUUAAAAUCUGGCCAUAAACAGCAUCACGGUGAGAGUGAUAUUUGGAUCUACACUUUGAAAACAAGUGAUUAAUUUCUAUUGAUCGCCCUG